rnacentral:rRNA from 1 species
AUACGUAGGGGGCGAGCGUUGUCCGGAAUGAUUGGGCGUAAAGGGCGCGUAGGCGGCCCGGUAAGUCUGGAGUGAAAGUCCUGUUUUUAAGAUGGGAAUUGCUUUGGAUACUGUCGGGCUUGAGUGCAGGAGGGGUAAGUGGAAUUCCCAGUGUAGCGGUGAAAUGCGUAGAGAUUGGGAGGAACACCAGUGGCGAAGGCGACUUACUGGACUGUAACUGACGCUGAGGCGCGAAAGUGUGGGGAGCAAACAGGAUUAGAUACCCUGGUAGUCCACACUGUAAACGAUGAAUGCUAGGUGUAGGGGGUAUCGACCCCUUCUGUGCCGCAGUCAACACAAUAAGCAUUCCGCCUGGGGAGUACGGCCGCAAGGUUGAAACUCAAAUGAAUUGACGGGG